rnacentral:rRNA from 1 species
CCGGAGGCUACUGCUAUCGGGGUUCGAUUAAGCCAUGCGAGUUAAAUGUUCUUCGUGAACAUAGCGAACUGCUCAGUAACACGUGGAUAACCUACCCUUAGGACCGGAAUAACCCCGGGAAACUGGGGAUAAUACCGGAUAAGCCAUAGACGCUGGAAUGCCCUAUGGUUCAAAGCUCCGGCGCCUAAGGAUGGAUCUGCGGUCUAUCAGGUUGUAGUGGGUGUAACGUACCUACUAGCCGACGACGGAUACGGGUUGUGAGAGCAAGAGCCCGGAGAUGGAUUCUGAGACACGAAUCCAGGCCCUACGGGGUGCAGCAGGCGCGAACACUUUACAAUGCGGGAAACCGCGAUAAGGGAACCCCGAGUGCCAGCAUCAAAUGUUGGCUGUCCAGAUGGUUAAAAAUCAUUUGUUAGCAAGGGCCGGGCAAGACCGGUGCCAGCCGCCGCGGUAACACCGGCGGCCCGAGUGGUAGCCGUUUUUAUUGGGUCUAAAGGGUCCGUAGCCGGCCUGAUAAGUCCUUUGGGAAAUCUGACAGCUUAACUGUCAGGCUUCUAAGGGAUACUGUCAGGCUUGGGACCGGAAGAGGUAAGGGGUACUCCAGGGGUAGGAGUGAAAUCUUGUAAUCCCUGGGGGACCAUCUGUGGCGAAGGCGCCUUACCAGAACGGGUCCGACGGUGAGGGACGAAAGCUAGGGGAGCAAACCGGAUUAGAUACCCGGGUAGUCCUAGCUGUAAACGAUGCUCGCUAGGUGUCAGACACGGUGCGACCGUGUUUGGUGCCGCAGGGAAGCCGUUAAGCGAGCCACCUGGGAAGUACGGUCGCAAGGCUGAAACUUAAAGGAAUUGGCGGGGGAGCACUACAACGGGUGGAGCCUGCGGUUUAAUUGGAUUCAACGCCGGA